UAAACAUCUGCCGCUGUAUAAGUAAGAACAGAGAGGGCAGAAGAAAGAAGGGAGGGUCAGCGUGGAUUCGGUAACCUGAGCCAGGCCUGUCCCAGUGUUUUGAAAGAAUUCGAGAUACUUGCCAGUGGUUAAAAAUGUGGAGAAAUGACAUUAAAAUUAAGGGUUCUCUACUUGUUGGAGAAAAUGACAACGUGGAGCUGAAGUAGCCAUGAUGUGACUGACUUGAGGGACCAGCGGGAGCUUGUCCACUUCAGGUAGCUGCAGUGCCCACCACUCCCAGCUGAGCCCUGAGGUCCAGCCUUCCCAAAGGUCGGAGGUAUCUCAGCCUCUGGGUGUCUCAUGGCAUUGAAAAAGGGGGGAUUGCCUCAAGCCUUGGGGAUUUCUGGAGGCUCAGAGUAGAUCCACAGGUGCCUCCCUCAGAACUUGGCUGGACCUCAGCAAGGAGUGGGGCAGCUGGAUCCUGCAAAAGUGCCAUGUCCGAGAGAGCAGGGAGACACCCAAGCCACACAGGGUGGGCGUGGGCCCCUUGGGGUCACUAGAGAGGCUUCGUGACUGCUACCUUGACCGUGGCCAGCAAGCUAUCUCUGGAGGGACCCUGAAUUGUGUUUGGGGGGGGUUGGUAACGAGGAUCAAACUUAGGACCUUGUGCUUGCAAGGCCGGCGGAACCACUGAGCUAAAUCCCCGGCCCUACCCCUGAAUUGUUUACUCCACGUUAAAAAAAACUCUGAACACUUUUCACUACCCUAAGUGGUGGAAUGCGCUAAAUGAACAGGGCGCUGGUCUCGGGCAGGUGGGAUGAGUACGUAAAAUUACAUGAAGCAAAAUAAAGGGGUGAACAUCCCAAUUGGAGGGUGAGUGGUCUGCUUCACAGAAAUCCAGGCCCCGGCCUCUCCUCCAGAGUAGCUUCUGCCACCAGGGCAGCAGAGGAUGGAGUGUGGGGGGACAGAGGCAGAAGCCACACACUGACCACAUGGUGCACAUGCCAACCCACCCAUUCUCACCACUGGCACCUCCACUGUGGGCUGAAGUGUGUUUCCCUCCAAAUGUGGCUGGAUUUGCAGAGAGGAACUUUAAAGAGUUAAAGGGAGACCAUUAGGGUGGCCCUAAUCCAACUGACUGGCAUCCUUAUGCCCAGAGGAAAUGGGGGCACACAGAGAUGUGUGUCCGUGGAUGUGUCCAUGAGGGACACAGUGAGAAGGUGGCCAUCUGCAAGCCACGGACAGCAGCCCUGGGAGAAAGCGAACCUACCAAUGUGGGACUUUAGUCACCAGAACUGUGAGGGAAUAGAUUUCUGUUGUUUAAGCCACUCCAUUUAUGGCAUUUGUUUGUUUGGUUUGGUUUUUUUGGUACCAGGGAUCGAACUCCAGACCUUGCGCUUUUGAGGCAGGCAACAGAACCACUGAGCUAAAUCCCCAGCCCCCCUGUCUAUGGCAUUUUGUUAUAGCAGUGUAAGAUGACUAAGCCAACUCUGUAUACAUGCCUCGGCUCCCAGACUGACCCCACAGAUACACACACACACAGUGAGCCUCCUAUCUACUCUCUCUCUCUCUCUCACACACAAACACACACACCCUUUUCAAUUUUAACUGGAUGCAACGUUGAGUCUCUUUAUAUCAAUAGUCUUGAUUCUUAUUUAUAGCUG
rnacentral:lncRNA from 1 species